UCCGCUAUAUUCCUAUAUUUAAAUUAUUGCUUGAUUAAUUGUUGCAAAGGGCCCAUUGUUCAAUUGUCAAGUUAUUAUAUUGCUAAUUAGAACUUUGAAUCCGUAAUUGUUUAAGUGUUCUAAAGCUAGUAGCAAAUAACAUAGUUGA